AUUGAACGCUGGCGGCAGGCCUAACACAUGCAAGUCGAGCGGAUGAAGGGAGCUUGCUCCUGGAUUCAGCGGCGGACGGGUGAGUAAUGCCCAGGAAUCUGCCUGGUAGUGGGGGAUAACGUCCGGAAACGGGCGCUAAUACCGCAUACGUCCUGCGCGUGAUAGUGGGGGAUCUUCGGACCUCACGCUAUCAGAUGAGCCUAGGUCGGAGUAGCUAGCUGGUGGGGUAAAGGCCUACCAAGGCGACGAUCCGUAACUGGACUGAGAGGAUGAUCAGUCACACUGGAAGGGAGACACGGUCCAGACUACUGCGGGAGGCAGCAGUGGGGAAUAUUGGACAGUGGGCGGAAGCCUGAUCCAGCCGUGCGGCGUGUGUGGAGAAGGUCUUCGGAGUGUAAAGCACGUUAAGGUGGGAGGAAGGGCAGUAGGUUGAUACCUUGCUGGUGUGACGUUACCAACAGAAGAAGCACCGGCUAACUUCGUG
rnacentral:rRNA from 1 species